rnacentral:rRNA from 1 species
UACGUAGGUGGCAAGCGUUGUCCGGAUUUACUGGGCGUAAAGAGCGCGCAGGCGGUAUGACAAGUCAGAUGUGAAAGAGGCCGGCUUAACCGGCAAGGGUCAUUUGAAACUGUCAGACUAGAGUGCAGCAGAGGAUAGUGGAAUUCCCGGUGUAGUGGUGAAAUGCGCAGAUAUCAGGAGGAACACCGGUGGCGAAGGCGGGUCUCUGGGCCGAAACUGACGCUGAGGAGCGAAAGCGUGGGGAGCGAACAGG